CAAUUCAUUUCCCUUUUCGUAACGAGUUUUAUAUCGGUCAAGAAUAAAUUAAAAUCGAAAUAAACGAUCUAUGCACACGUGAAAAUUGCAUUACUUAAUAGGAAAGAGGAAAUGUCGUUCACGGAACGAAGAUAGGAGUCAUUCCCCGUUUUAUGCACGAGAGAUUACACCAGGGAGGAAAAGUUUGCCACGUAGAAUAAUGCUUUAAUUGAUGAAAUCUAGUUCCAUACGAUACCAACUGUUACGGGCUUCUAAAACCAUAGUUGAAUACCUCUGCGAGAAAGUGCGGAAAAUUGAAUUUUCGUUAUCAACAACUUUUCUUUACUUUUUUUUUAUUUUCUCCCGCAAACGAUUCAUUUUGUCCUUAAGUACACGCGAUUACGUACAUUCAGAUGAAUAAAAAGAAAAAAAAGAAGAGAAAGAAGAAAAAAACAACGAAAACGAAAUUCUCGAGAGUCGAAAUAAAACUUGAAUAUCGACGAUUGUUCUUGCACGACAUCUCGCGGUUCAUCGACGAAACAACACCAGAUCGAAAAAUUCGUUUCCCCGGGAUAGACACAUCCGUCCGGGAUAUCGGUGUUGCGUCGGUUCUCACGACCGAAAUUUAGCGCGCUCGUGCGGCUUACGAGCCGGCUUCAGCUGUUUAAUUUACCGCUCGAAAUAAUUUGAAUAGGGUUUCGUCGUGCAAUAACAUCUCGAAGAUGAGCCGUGCGCCGUGUGUCGUAGGCGAAUGCACGGAGCUCAACCGACUAGUAGCGACUCCUGGGAGAGAGGGGCUGCGAACAAGGCUGCAUACCUUCGCCUCCCUCCCCUCCUCACGGCUUGUCGACGUCGCUCUCUGUUACAGGACGUAUCCCCCCGGGGUCGUAAUGGUAAGUCUCUCUCUCCACGCGAGGACCCGAAAUUAAUAACGCGGCCUGGCGCAAAUACGGCGCACAUAAUUAAAGCGAUAUUACGAUCCGGGACACCGGAUGGCGCUGUAUCGUCUAACAACCGGCUGACUCUCCGUGUCCGUAUUAUUUACCUCUACUCACCGGUGCUCGCGCGUAUUCAAGAUGUGUACAUUUUGAUUACCCAUCUACGCAAACUGUUUGCAAACAGUCGGCUGAUUUGUGUCAAUAUUCCCAGUCGUGAUCGAUCAAGGUUAAUAAGUACUAACUAUUCAUAAGAGGAAUAUCAAGUGGAUUAAAACUUUCUCCUUUGAGGAUCGAGCUCAUUCUCGACAGACACUCUCGGCUACAUUACCAUUCAGGGCCAAUCAUGGAGCAAACUAACGGUCUUCUCAAACAUUAAAGGAAACGUAGGGUGAAAUUCAAAGGGUGGGUCUCCUCAUAAAGUGAUAAAGUGAUAAUUUUGUGAAGUGGCAAAACGAUGUAAAAAAGAAAAAAAUCACGCGAUCAACGACUAGAGUGGUGCGGAAUUUUCCGUUUGAAGGUUUUGGAUAUCAAAGUUUCGAAAGUGAGUGAUGCACAGUUGUGGAAAGGAAAUGGGCAAAUGUGGAAGGUAAACAAGAACGGAAUAAAGUGAAUAAAGCUGUGAAAGAAAAGUGGAGGAAGGAAACAUUGGAUGGAGGAAAAAUUGAAAAAUAGGAGAAAAGAUGGAGGGAGUGAAAAGGAAGGAAUUGAAGGAGAGAGGCAGAUAAAAAUAUAUAUAUAUAUAUAUAUACAUAUAGAGAGGAUCAAGGAAUAAAAUGAAAUAGAAAAGAUGCGGAACAAGUACUGAGAGAAUGUUUGAGAUGAUGCACAGAGUUCCCUGAUGUAUGAGAUAGUUUCGCAUAGGGGCCGCUUGCUGCAACACCGCCGCCAACACUGUCGAGGAAACGUUGCCCCAUAAAAUAUGUCUCGCGCGUUAGCUUAUGCUAGCUACAUGCACACAUGUACCACGCACAUCCUUCCGUUGAACGUGUUGAAGGUGACACGACGAAGGAGAAGAUAACGUCGACGAUAGAGGUUGAAGUAUAAACCACUCGAGGGACUCGUUUGAUGCCUUCCCAUCAUGUAGCUUUCGUGCACGAGCUUAUCUUUAUCCAAAAUUAUUACGACGAUAUUCUCUACCUUCUUUAUACAUAUAUAUAUACAUAUACACACACGUAUACACACAUACUUUUUCUUCCUCUCUAAACAAGUAAGAACUUUAUCUUAACGACACGAUUGAAAAACGCGCGUUUAAUUGGACGAUUCGCAAUUCGACGAAAAUGGGCAAGCGGGAUGGAGAAUAAGGAUAGAGAGAUAGCUUGGAAGUCACGAAUCAGGCGAGAGAGGGCAGCAGCGGGCGAGGCACAGACGCCUCUGUUAUAUCGUGGCGAUUUUCGCACCGACGGCGAAGCAAAUUGCCGACUUUUCGCGAAAUAACGGAUGGACAGGGAUGGACCGGGUCCCCGAUAAAAAGCGGAGGGAUAUAAACGGCGGAACGGUUGGACGAUAAAAUUUAUGUAAUCCCCCGUAAGUAAGCUGGGGAGGGAGGGACCGUAUCUACAUCCCUGAAAUAUACGAAUAGGUUAAUAAUUCUAAGGACAUCGUGAGUACGUCGCGAAAAUUUGGACGGCGGCCAAGAAAGUUUCCAACCAAAGAUAUCGGCCUCUCGUAUCUCUUCCCUCUCCCGAUGUAUUGAAACUUGGCGCGGGGAGAGGGUGGGGGAGGAGAGGGGGUAGUCGUUUAUUAGAUUUCAAUUUGGACAUUGUCCAAGAUCGCUUAAUUUAUCGAGCCGCUUGUUCGCUUAUCCAGAGCUCGAAUUUCGCUAAAAAAAAAAAAAAA